UACCUUAACACGGAUGAAGACCAGGGCGAUGACUGAUAGUUACGACGAACACGGAUGAUGACCUGUACAGUUACGACUGAUUGUUACGAACUUCCGAUGACCCCGAAGUGCGGGAACAGGAAGUUCAUAUCUCGCGCUCAAAACAUCCAAUCAGUGAUCAUAUUACUAUUUUAGCUGCUUUGCUGUGUUUUAGAGGUCGAUGACCUCACUUAGCCUAACUAAUAGUUUUCAGAGAUUAAUUCAAAAUGAGUCUUGUCAGAUCUUUAUUACGGAGGAUAUACGGAAGACGUAAAUCACUCAUUAAAUGGCUUCAGAAACACAGGCUCCUGCUCAGAAAAAAGAAAUGUAGGUUAUGCAGAAAGAGGAUGAGUCUUCAAAAAACUAACACAACAAAAGAUGGAUAUCGAUGGAUAUGUAGACGAAAUCGCCACAAGGACGUGUCACUCUCCAUACGUCACGGCUCUGUUUUCAGCAAAAGUCAUGUUUCUCUUUCUUCCUAUAUGGAGUUCAUUCACAGAUUUGCUCAAGGAUUACGUCUCCGUCAGGUGGAUAUGCUUGAAGAGGGUCUGUGUGGCAGUAGUGCAACAUUUACAAAAAUGACAAAAAAACUCAAGGCAGUAUGUGUUAAAUCAAUCAAAAAAAUGGAAAGAGAGCGGAGGAUCAGAAUCGGUGGAGCAAGAGCAUUUGUGGUCCUGGAUGAAAGCAAGUUUUGCCACAAACGGAAGUAUGCACGUGGGCGUUUUGGCAACACAUGGCGAAGAAAAGCAUGGGUUUUCGGUAUGAUUGAAGUCAAAAGAAAGCAAAGGAGACCUGUGCUGAAAGUGGUAAAACGAAGAACAGCAAGAAAAUUAAUUCCCAUU